rnacentral:lncRNA from 1 species
AUGAGCAUGCAAACAAAUCAAAACCCGGAUGAUCAAAUUCCAUCACAAGGAAACAAUUAUCACGCAAAAAGAACCUAAGAACCUAACAAUUGAGAUCCGCUUAUAAUUUGCAAAAGUUUUCAGUUCAAAGGAGGCAUCGAGAAAGAGAAGUACAUAGCAUGCUCGAAGCAUUGCGCAAUACCUGUGGUUAAUCAUUAAAGGUCAUGGCCAAAAUUGAAUGAUCAUAGUUCUGGAAAUACUGUAGCCAAAAUUUACUGAGACUGACACCUGCAAAGAUACUAUAAUCAGAGUGCAAAACCACAAGAACCCGACUCCAAACACUGCACAGAACAAGUCACAACUACGCCGAAAUCAAGAACCGUGUGCAAAAAUACAUCGGCACAGACUGAGUUUGCUCACAAUCAACCGUCCACAGCAGCACAAAGCAUUAGAUCACUAACCAUUCGUUGUCGGAUAACACAGGCAAAUUGCAAAUUGUUCACGACAUAUGCUCCAUAGUAGACUUCUAACAUAGUUUAAGUGCUCAGAACACAAGUAGCAAAAUUUGAAAAAUGCAACCCAACACAGGUGAAGUUUUGCUUGGGAUGGUCUCCAAUGCAACUGGAGCAUCCAGGCAUAGAGCUCAACGGUAGCGGCGGAGGGAUAGGGUCUGGUUGCGCUUCCAGGUAGCCCUCCUGGACGGCCUGUUCUUGUGGUGGGAGCUGCCCUUGCCGCGCAGGCCACGGUACUUCUUGCCAGCGGAGGUGAGGCCACGGAGCUCACGGUGCUUGUGCACAUCCUUGCACAGCCAGUUGAUUCUUGGGUCAUUGCGGAUGGCAGCGUGGGCAACAUCAACAAGGAUGAUCUCAAAGUACUUGUAGGU